rnacentral:rRNA from 1 species
AUUGAACGCUGGCGGCGUGCCUAACACAUGCAAGUCGAGCGGUAACAGGUGUAGCAAUACAUGCUGACGAGCGGCGAACGGGUGAGUAAUGCUUCGGAAUCUGCCCAAUGGUGGGGAAUAACCAGCCGAAAGGUUGGCUAAUACCGCAUAAGUCCUACGGGGGAAAGCAGGGGAUCGCAAGACCUUGCGCCGAUGGAUGAGCCGAAGUCGGAUUAGCUAGUUGGUAGGGUAACGGCCUACCAAGGCGACGAUCCGUAGCUGGUCUGAGAG